rnacentral:misc_RNA from 1 species
AUCAUAUGUAAACUCCAGAACUCGAUUAUUGAAAGCCAAACAAUUCUUCCACGAAGAGCAAGAAAUGAAACAAAUAUCAAGUAAUAUACAGAGCUCCCUUCCCCUCGAAAUUGCCCUGAAAAUCGCUUCCACUCUUGAGGUAUUGGAUGUGUGUGCAUUGGGUGGUUGCUCUCGAUUUUGGAGGGAGAUAUGCGGGUCGGAUUGCGUGUGGGAAUCUCUUACCAGGGAGAGAUGGCCUUUACUUACUUUUCCCAACAAGUCUUCUUCUUCUUCGGAUCCUGUUACCAAGGGAUGGAGGGAGAUUUACAUAAAGAUGCAUAGAGAGACGGCAGGUAAAGCUACCACUGUGGUUGAGUUUGUGGAGAAUUGUUCUUCGUCUGAGUUGCUCGAGGUUGGGGAUUAUUAUAAAGCAAUUGAAGAUUUAUGCUCGAUGCAGCUUGCAUUUAGAGAUGUCCAAAUGUUUCUUUUCAAACCAACGCUGAAUGUGCUACUUAACUUGGUUGGCUUGCACUACUGCAUUUUCUGCCUUCAAGUGCCGGUUAGGCAUGUCAUGGAUGCACUCCUGAGUUGCAAAAUCUCAGAACGACAAGUUUGUGUGAAAUGGUGGAAGCUUGGCAGAUGGUUUUAUGGCUUCCGCAUGAGAGAUGAAUCUCAUUCUCGUAUGGUAUCUUUGGCAGAUCUUCUAACAAACAAGGGGGAGGAGGUUUUGGGUGUCCUUCGCCGUGGUGCCAUUCAUGAGGUGUUACAUGUUGAGAUCUGCAUUUCAAAUGUGGCAUCUACCCCAUGGUCGAGCUCACAGCAACAAGAUUAGGAAUGGUGCAAUAAUGGGCUUAUGUAUAUAAUGCUUAUUCUCUCUUAUGUUUUAUCUUGCAAUUGCUAAAGAAGGAGGUGCUUUUCCAAGGUGGCAUUUCCUAGCCAUCAUGCAUUUAGAUUUUCUGUUGCUAAUUCCGCAUGUAAUCUCUGACAUUGCAAAAUGAUGUAAAGAAAAGGCUGCUGAAUGCCACCGAGAUUAUAGCGUGUUCAUAAUUUUUAUUGCCUGGAUCCAAAUGAUCGGUGAUAUUUAUCUAAGUUGACAUGUUUGUUUUCCUCUGGCCUGUCUUCUAAGAACUGAAGAUGAAUCCUCA